rnacentral:siRNA from 1 species
CAAGUGCCUAUUGUUACCCUA